UACGGAGGGUGCGAGCGUUGUCCGGAAUCAUUGGGCGUAAAGGGCGCGUAGGUGGCCCGGUCAGUUCGUGGUGAAAGCGCGGGGCUCAACCCUGCGUCGGCCAUGAAUACUGCCGCGGCUGGAGCACUGUAGAGGCAGGCGGAAUUCCGGGUGUAGCGGUGGAAUGCGUAGAGAUCCGGAAGAACACCGGUGGCGAAGGCGGCUUACUGGUCCGGUUCUGACGCUGAGGCGCGAAGCGUGGGGAGCAAAGCAGG
rnacentral:rRNA from 1 species